AGUCAACAUGUGCCUUUCUGUAUCGUGAUAUUCAUUAAUUACGUAGUGCUUUUAACAUCAUUUUUCCAUUGUUUAUAUCCACGUUAUCAUUAACCUCGUUUAAUUAAGAUUGUAUGUGAUUGGGGAAAAAAGUUUAAAAUAUUAGGAAGAUGUCUUGACUACAUGAUCAAUGAACGGUCAAUUUGGUAUCUUUUUAUGGAAAUAUGGUUUUGCAAUUAGACACAACCUUUUCUGCAACUC